GUUUAACCUAAAAAAAUGUCAAAGCAAAUAUAUUGUCUUCUUCCCUUACAGAAAAAUAAGAAAAAUCAAAAAACAAAUACUUCCUUGAUUCAAAAUUUACAACGCUCAAAAAGAUGAUCUUCAUACUAUGCCAUAUGCUGGUGCUCGUUUAAUAACUUUUGAAUCAUCGCCUCUCCCCUGGUAAUAUUUAUUGCCCCCCCCCUAAUGUGAAUAUAUGAUACACUGGAGCAAUGGAAGGGUUGUUUUAGCGUAUAAUUACGUUUUGCC
rnacentral:lncRNA from 1 species